rnacentral:rRNA from 1 species
CCUACGGGAGGCUGCAGUGGGGACUAUUGGGCAAUGGGCGCAAGCCUGACCCAGCAACGCCGCGUGAAGGAAGAAGGCUUUCGGGUUGUAAACUUCUUUUCACAGGGAAGAGCAGAAGACGGUACCCCUUGAAUUAGGCCCGGCUAACUAAGUUCCAGAAGCCGCGGUAAUACGUAGGUGGCAAGCGUUGUCCGGAUUUACUGGGUGUAAAGGGCGUGCAGCCGGGAAGACAAGUCAGAUGUGAAAUCCCGCGGCUCAACCGCGGAACUGCAUUUGAAACUGUUUUUCUUGAGUACCGGAGAGGUCAUCGGAAUUCCUAGUGUAGCGGUGAAAUGCGUAGAUAUAAGGAGGAACACCAGUGGCGAAGGCGGAUGGCUGGACGGCAACUGACGGUGAGGCGCGAAAGCGUGGGGAGCAAACAGGAUUAGAUACCCCAGUAGUC